rnacentral:rRNA from 1 species
UGCGUAGGCGGCAUUAUAAGUCAGAGGUGAAAGCUUGCAGCUUAACUGUGAAAUUGCCUUUGAUACUGUAGUGCUUGAAUUAGGCUGAGGUUAGCGGAAUGUGUCAUGUAGCGGUGAAAUGCAUAGAUAUGACAUAGAACACCCAUUGCGAAGGCAGCUAACUAGACCUAUAUUGACGCUGAGGCACGAAAGCGUGGGGAGCGAACAGGAUUAGAUACCCUGGUAGUCC